GUGAGGAAUAUUGGUCAAUGGGCGGGAGCCUGAACCAGCCAAGUCGCGUGAAGGAAGAAGGAUCUAUGGUUCGUAAACUUCUUUUGCAGGGGAAUAAAGUGCAGGACGUGUCCUGUUUUGUAUGUACCCUGAGAAUAAGGAUCGGCUAACUCCGUGCCAGCAGCCGCGGUAAUACGGAGGAUCCGAGCGUUAUGCGGAUUUAUUGGGUUUAAAGGGUGCGUAGGUGGUUUGAUAAGUCAGCGGUGAAAGUUUGCAGCUUAACUGUAAAAAUGCCGUUGAAACUGUCGGACUUGAGUGUAAAUGAGGUAGGCGGAAUGCGUGGUGUAGCGGUGAAAUGCAUAGAUAUCACGCAGAACUCCGAUUGCGAAGGCAGCUUACUAAGCUACAACUGACACUGAAGCACGAAAGCGUGGGGAUCAAACAGGAUUAGAAACCCGUGUAGUCC
rnacentral:rRNA from 1 species